UCAAGAAACUUCCACAAUGGGCGAAAGCCUGAUGGAGCGACGUCGCGUGAUGGACGAAGUGCUUCGGCACGUAAACAUCUUUUAUGUGGGAUGAAAUUAUUGACAGUACCACAUGAAUAAGGGGCUCCUAACUCUGUGCCAGCAGGAGCGGUAAUACAGAGGCCCCAAGCGUUAUCCGGAAUCACUGGGCGUAAAGGGUGUCGAGGCGGUUGUAUUAGUCGUUCGUAAAAUCUACGAGCUUAACUUGUAGGCGGCGAACGAAACGGUACGACUUGAGGUUUGGAGAGGUGCGUGGAACUCACGGUGUAGGGGUGAAAUCCGUUGAUAUCGUGGGGAACACCAAAGGCGAAGGCAGCGCACUGGCCAAAAUCUGACGCUCACACACGAAAGCUAGGGUAGCGAAGAGGAUUAGAUACCCA
rnacentral:rRNA from 1 species